ACGGAGGAUCCAAGCGUUAUCCGGAUUUAUUGGGUUUAAAGGGCGCGCAGGCGGAUCAAUAAGUCAGGGGUGAAAAAUUUCAGCUUAACUGGAAUCGGGCCUUUGAUACUGGUGGACUAGAGUAUAAUUGACGUGACUGGAAUGUGAUGUGUAGCGGUGAAAUGCUUAGAUAUCGCGCAGAACGCCAAUCGCGAAGACAGGUUCCGAAACUAUUACUGACGCUGAUGUGCGAAAGCCUGGGGAUCAAACAG
rnacentral:rRNA from 1 species